CAUGUUGACCAGGAUGGUCUCGAUCUCUUGACCUCGUGAUCCACCCGCCUCGGCCUCCCAAAGUGCUGGCAUUACAGGCUUGAGCCACCGCGCCCGGCCUCGUCCAAUCUUGUACUCCUGUGGCGCUGGGGCACCCUCUUUCUCUCCCGCCCGCGACCGCGGCCUGGUGGCUUUUAUUCGUCCCUGCGGCCUGAGCGGGCCAUUGCUCACGUACACAGGAAGACAGGCAUUUGCAAGUGUCGUAAGGGUUAUUGCCGAGUUUAAAAUGAGUUAACUGAGACCAGCAUAAGAAGAUUAAAUGCCAGUUUAUUUAGCUCCCGGGUGAAGUUCCAUGGUCCCAGGGAAAAGGGGCCAGGGAAGUCGCACCAACUUCCUGGGGCGUGGGGUUUUUAUGACUAGGAGGAGCAAGCAACAGCUGGGUGCUCUGAUUGACUCCAGGGGAGCGGGAUUGAGAUGGGGCGCGUUUUCCGGUGGGAGAACCGGCCAGGAGCCUUGCAUUAGCUGGAGCCUUCCAGGGGAGCACUGCGGCAGAGCUAGGUGCCGAGUGCAGAGGUGGGCGUGUCCAACCUCCCGACAAGGCAGCCGGCCUUACAGUCAGGAUAACCACAUCAUCACUGCUGUUGGCACUCACAGGUGGCAAUGCAUAUAAAACAACGAUCUGCUUGAGCUACUAGUGAAGUACCAUAGUGAAAGCAUGCAGGGGCACUGCCAGCUUAAGGAAAAGUAAGUUGCUUGUCCAUUCAUUGAGUGGUUAGCACCUGCUUUACAAAUCUCUUAAACAUCUGGCUCCAUGCCCUUUACACAGGAGUUCACACAGACAGAGACGUUUAUUUUUUCUUCCUAAUCACAUACCUUUUAAGAUUCAUAAUUUGGGAUGAGCAAAAGGCUCAACAGGAGGUGGGGAUGAAUUAAAAAACCAUAAAAUUGAUGCUGUCACUCUGAUUGACAUACCACUAGUGCAGCAUGCAUUUCCUGUUUGUCAAGAAUGAAAGGUGUUCACAUUCUGUAAUAAUACCUAGUAAUGUCUUGGAAAGACAAACUGCUGCCUGACUACAUUUUACCAAAAUGGAUUUUUUUCUCCUUUUUGCCAGCACUGAAGUCAGGAGCUAGAGUGUACAUUACAACCCUAUAUAAAGGAUGACCUAGAUAUUUAAUAACUCAGGUAUUGCAGUCUACUACCUGGACCUCCCCAGGUCUCCGAUGCUGUAUUCUAGUAUGCCUGAAAUCACCAUUACACCUUAAGACUAAUUCAGAGAAGCAUCCAGGGAGCUAGAUGUCCAGGAAUGCCAUAAUAAACUUCAGAGAAUGGGUUUCCUUUGCUCCCUAUAGCUGUCUCAUCACAAAUUCGCCAACACUCUACCUCUUAGAGGUCUGUCUGACAAUUAACAUUUUGUGCAGCAUAGUAAAGAGAAUCUUGUACGUAGGGAUCAGGAGGCCUGACUCCCUCUAGCUACUAUGUCACUAACCAUCUAAGCAAGCCAGCCAUUUAACUUCUACACCUCAGUGUCAUCACACUUAAAAUAGAUUCUUCCAUUUGCCUUGGCUUCUUGAGGGGUUGGUUGUUGAAGAAUAAAAGUAAAAUUAUACCUUUAUAACUUGCAUGCAAUCUUUGUCAUGUAGAUCACAAAUAUGAUUAUGUAUUUGUUAAACAAAAAAUUUGGAGAAUAUUUAAAAUAAUCUACUCUGGGGCAAUAAUUUGGUAAAAGAAUGAGGAAGAAUCAAUGAGGUACACAAUAUUAUGUGACAGGGUUAACAUCAGAAGAAAAUUAAAUAUAGCAUGUAUUUGUUAAAGAAUUUGGAGAAUAUUUAAAAUAAUCUAUUCUGGGGCAAUAAUUUGGUAAAAGAAUGAGGAAGAAUCAAUGAGGUACACAAUAUUAUGUGACAGGGUUAGCAUCAGAAGAAAAUUAAAUGUAGUUAUAGCCAUUCAAGAAUUAUUCUUACAGUAAAGUUUUAGCCAAAGAUGUAUCCCUCAACUUACUGCCCUGUUAUUACUAUUUACAUCCCUAUGGAGUAUGAAUUACAGAUAUUGACUACUAGCUUUUCAAACAUUAAAAUAUUAUUUCGGGGAAACAAAGAAUAAAGGGAAAAGAUUAAAUAAAUCUGAAAACUUUAGGAGAAAGAUAGAAUAGGAAUGUUUGUAUUAAGUGUUCUAAUGACACAUUUUUGCAUUUUCAAGUCUUGGGAUUCUGUUAUUUCCAUAGAAGAUUUCAAGAUAAUAAAUGUAAGAUUAGUGCACAAUCAUUGUCUAAAAAUACCAAGUUUCAAGUGUCGGGCACUACAUCCUCAACAACCCUUUGUCUCUGGAAUUAUAAACACAGACUUCUAUGAUUUGGAAAGCCUAUGGAAAAUUGACCCAAAUGAAAAAAGGGAAAUGUUUUGUAGACCCCGCUUUUGUGAUAAUACUGUUGCAAAGGGAUCAAAGUGCUUUCGAAUACAAUUUAUUGCUGUUGUUUUUACUAAAUCAAAUAAAGGCUUUAAGCAAAAA